rnacentral:siRNA from 1 species
CCACCCGCAAAACCACCUGUUGC